CCUACGGGAGGCAGCAGUAGGGAAUAUUGGGCAAUGGAGGCAACUCUGACCCAGCCAUGCCGCGUGCAGGAUGAAGGCGUUAUGCGUUGUAAACUGCUUUUAUAUAGGAAGAAAGAGUUCUUGCGAGAACAGUUGACGGUACUAUAUGAAUAAGCACCGGCUAACUCCGUGCCAGCAGCCGCGGUAAUACGGAGGGUGCAAGCGUUGUCCGGAUUUAUUGGGUUUAAAGGGUGCGUAGGCGGUUUAUUAAGUCAGUGGUGAAAGACGGUCGCUCAACGAUUGCAGUGCCAUUGAUACUGGUAGACUUGAGUGAGAUUGAGGUAGCUGGAAUGGAUAGUGUAGCGGUGAAAUGCAUAGAUAUUAUCCAGAACACCAAUUGCGUAGGCAAGUUACUAAGUCUCAACUGACGCUGAGGCACGAAAGUGUGGGUAUCAAACAGGAUUAGAUACCCUGGUAGUCCACACUGUAAACGAUGAUAACUAACUGUUGGCUUUCGGGUCAGUGGUACAGAGAAAUCGUUAAGUUAUCCACCUGGGGAGUACGCCGGCAACGGUGAAACUCAAAGGAAUUGACGG
rnacentral:rRNA from 1 species